GUUAUCACGCACUCUGCUCUCCAUUAGAGAGAUAGGCCACGACAAAAGAAGAACAGGGAAGAAUAGGGGCAUCAGUCCUCGUUGAUCCAGAAGACGCGAUCCGAGCCUCCCCGCGCCACCGAUUCCUAGCGCCGCCUCGCCCCCGCCGUCGUCGCGUCUCCGGCAAGACAGGACCCCGCCAUGCCGAUCUCAUCGUCCCUCUCCGCGCGCC
rnacentral:lncRNA from 1 species